UUAACUUUUAACAAGUUUAGGCGGUGCUCUCCAUACUCGAACUGUCCGUAAUCUCUCUUAUGAGUUUAUAUUUAUUUGAUGAACGUGAAGUUUUUUGAAUGUGGGUGCUUGCAGGUGGUGGAGCAUUGGCCAGCUUGUUCCUUGAAAUAAGCAUUGGCCCAUGAAUGAGUUAUCCAAUAUUUUGAUGGUUUUAUUAACAUUUUUUUGGGAUAUGGUUUGUGGUUAAAUAUAAAUAGGUAGGAAAUGUUACAAUUUUUUUAUAUUGUUUGUCAAAUGUAAAAUUGUAGCAACCUGGAAGAGGAAUUAAAUUUGUUUGGUUUAUUUUUGGUUUAUUUUCAUUUAUGUGCUUCUGUAUAGAAUCCUUGCCUUUAAGAGUUGACCUUAUUUAGCUAAUAAUGCAAUUUGACAAUUGAAUACUUAUUUUGCAGAUUUUUUUUUUUUUUUUUGAGAAGCAUUAUUUUGCAGAUUUAGUGCAAUGAAAUUUAUUUAUAUUUUUUUCUUUCUAUAAAUAGCAGUGCAAAA